UACAGAGGUGGCAAGCGUUGUUCGGAAUUACUGGGCGUAAAGGGCGCGUAGGUGGCCUUCUUAGUCAGACGUGAAAUCCCCAGGCUUAACCUGGGAACUGCGUCUGAUACUGGAAGGCUUGAGUUCGGGAGAGGAAUGUGGAAUUUCCAGGUGUAGCGGUGAAAAUGCGUAGAUAUCUGGAGGAACACCGGUGGCGAAGGCGGCAUUCUGGACCGAAAACUGACGCUGAGGCGCGAAAAGCCAGGGGGAGCAAACGGG
rnacentral:rRNA from 1 species